GAAGAUGUAGCUCAGUUGGUAGAGUGCUUGAUAUGCGUGAGACCCUGGGUUCCAGUCCCAGCACCAUUA
rnacentral:tRNA from 1 species